rnacentral:rRNA from 1 species
UAGGGAAUCUUCCACAAUGGACGCAAGUCUGAUGGAGCAACGCCGCGUGAGUGAAGAAGGUUUUCGGACCGUAAAGCUCUGUUGUUGGUGAAGAAGGAUAGAGGUAGUAACUGGCCUUUAUUUGACGGUAAUCAACCAGAAAGUCACGGCUAACUACGUGCCAGCAGCCGCGGUAAUCGUAGGUGGCAAGCGUUGUCCGGAUUUAUUGGGCGUAAAGCGAGCGCAGGCGGAAGAAUAAGUCUGAUGUGAAAGCCCUCGGCUUAACCGAGGAAUUGCAUCGGAAACUGUUUUUCUUGAGUGCAGAAGAGGAGAGUAGAACUCCAUGUGUAGCGGUGGAAUGCGUAGAUAUAUGGAAGAAUACCAGUGGCGAAGGCGGCUCUCUGGUCUGCAACUGACGCUGAGGCUCGAAAGCAUGGGUAGCGAACAGGAUUAGAUACCCUGGUAGUCCAUGCCGUAAACGAUGAGUGCUAAGUGUUGGGAGGCUUCCGCCUCUCAGUGCUGCAGCUAACGCAUUAAGCACUCCGCCUGGGGGAGUACGACCGCAAGGUUGAA